CGAAGAUGAUUAAGAGUAUUCGAGUGGACUGCGAUUCGAUUCCUAAUUCGCUCAAUUUCGGAUGCAAUUACCAUGUCAACGCGGUUGGCUUAUCGAUCACUUCGAUUCGAUCACAUUCGACGAAUGGUGCUUAUACGAUGAUUCAUGAUUUAUCGAUCAAGAGUAUUAUAGCUUUGUAUUGAUCAAUGAAAAAUUCUCAAUAUCGAGCAACCUAUCAAAGGAAAUCGUGUGUUACUGGUUGGUUACAUGGAACAUAUUUGCUGAAAUUUGUCCUGGUUACUGGCAAAUGCAUCGCUUGUUAUCCUAUUAUCUGGAUUAUGGUGCGUUAUGUGGAGAUCUGACGAGGAAAUCGAGAACGGGAACGAGAACGAGAACGAGAACGAGAAUGAGAACGAGCUGAAGCUAGCAAGAGCUUUUCCUCUCAUUUUCACCAAGGAUGCGGCUAUAAUUCAUGAAGUGGUGCUAAUUCCUUGGCAACCACCGUCGCACCGUCUCGUCAAGAGGCUUUGCGCGUCGAAACAGCUUCCCAUUUCACAGCGGAGUUAGGAAAUGUAUUGUUUUCUCGAAAGAGUAUCCCACCGAGACCAAAAUGGCGUAGACUGUACCAACCAUCUAGGAUCCACGAACGUCGGAAUAGUGGCAAGCAACCUAACGUCCCUCGUGUCUUUGUUUGAGUGCUUAAGAGAGAAGAAAAUCCCCGAUUGGUAUUUCAA